rfam:Nicotiana attenuata strain TT chromosome 11, whole genome shotgun sequence.
AAGAUUUGGCUGUAUUUGACUUUUAAUAUUAUUUAACUUAUUCCGUGAAUCGGAAGCGGGGCACUGCCCCUCUUUUUGGACCUAAGGCUUGCUUGCAGGCCAAUCCAGGCGGAAGACAUUGUCGGGUGGGAAGUUUGGCUGGGGCGGCACAUCUGUUAAAAGAUAACACAUGUAUCUUAGACGAGCUCAACGAGAACAGAAAUCUCAUGUGGAACAGAAGGAUAAAAACUCAUUUGAUUCUGAUUUCCAAUAUGAAUACGAAUCGUGAAAGCGUGGGUGCUGAACUAUCUUUUAGACCUUCGAAAUUCGAAGCUAGAGGUGUCAGAAAAGUUACCACAGGGAUAACUGGCCUAUAACAGCCAAGCAUUCAUAGCGACGUUGCUUUUAAAAAUAAAAAAUAAAAAAUACAGUA